AAAGAAAUAUUAUUUUAAAUUAGAUAAUAAAUGUAUAUUUAAUAAAACUUUUACAAUUACUAAUACUACCUGUUAAAAAUUAUGAUUUAACUCAAGAAAAAAAGUAAUAAGUUGUCUCAAACAAGACCUAAUUAAGCAAAUACAUGAAGUAGCUAGCUCGAGGCAAAAGUAAGGUAAAAUAUUUUACAUCACUGUUCUUCUUCUCCUCUCUUACCUUUUUCUCUAGACCGUCUCUUUGCUUGACUUGAUUGUUGGAGGGGAAUCUGUCGGAAUCAUCCUUGGUUGCAGGUAGUCUGUUGGAGAAAGCAAAUAUGGGGUAGAUUCAUGUAGUGUGUCGUGGUGAUAGAGAGAGUGAUUCAAGGAAGACUCACAGUCUCGAUUGAAAUUCUUGCUCCAACAGCCAGCACCCUCUCCAGUAACUGGACAGUAGUAUGUGUGGUUCACACUGGGGGCAUAUCCCACCAGAUUUGGACGGUUGAGAUUGUCGAUUCGAGUAUAGGUCUUUUCCAUGUCCCCGUACUGGCAAUUACUGCCAAAACUAGUUUUCACACUUCACACAAAGGAUCAAGACUUCAAAUUUCAAUUUCUUUAUUGGGAUUAUCUGAUAAUGUGAUCGUUGAUGAAGACAGGGACAGUCAUGAGAAAAGAAAAGGAAAAAAGGGCAGUUACUUUUGACUGCUUACCUUAGUAGUCCCAUCAACAAUCUGAAUCCUUGGCUACAAAAUCCUAUCACAAUUGCCAAAGAUUUGUAACAUGUUUUUGAUCAGGCCUCAGAAGAGGAAAGACAAAAGAAGUAGUGGUACUGAAUAUUUGAGCGGUUGUGCAUGAGCCAGCAGCGGUGUUUUGUCUGGGCUCAUGACAAUGAUUGAUGCAGAUAUGAACAGUAAGACUGCUCGCGGAGGAAAUGGUUGGUAGUUAGGUAAAUGAGGCCAAGCAUUUCUUAAUUAUUAGCUUAGCUUAAGCGUCACCACCGCCUAGGUCUUGCCUUCAUAUGCAUGCUUGUGUGGUUUAGUCAUUCAUCCUCUAGCGUAUGCUUCGUCACAUCACCCCUCUGUCUUCUCCAUUCCCUACUUUGUUGACUUACUUUUUUCACCUUUGGCAAACUUUUUUUUUUUUUUCCCGAUUUUUAUGAAUUUUCUGGAGUUGAUUACUUUGGAUAUUCAAACAUGGUGAUUGAGUUUUGGAACUUUGAUGCCUUUCAAUGAUUUCCAUUAUAAGCCUAACAAAUUAUCUAAAAAGCUCUCUUUACUCCCCAUCAAACAUGUAGCUAUAUGACAAUUUUUGGUACGUCCUUUUUUUCCUUGUUCCCUUUCAUUUUUAUUUUUAUUUUUGUGUAUUUAAUUUUACGUAAUAUUUAGUUGGUUUAUAAAUGUUGAACACGGGUGUGAACCUAGGAUAAGGUUUCAAAGUGGGCAAGGCAAUAGACAAAGAGGGGGCUGUGCACUAAUGGUCUCCCCAAACAAACAAAAACCAAGGUAUCUUUUCUGGUAGCACGUAAACAUCUAUGAUAAGCGGCCUAAAAUACAAUCUAAAUAAUAGACACGUGUCCAUCUUGGGGAGAUGUAUGUAGAAGUCUGUGUUGCCAAACUAGGCAACUGUUGAGCUGAUGGGCUCCUUUCCAAGACUUAAUUUACCCAAGGCCCACUUCAUUGUGGGCCCUUAUUGUUCAAUGCUGUUGGACAAAUGGGCCCCCACUGGAGUUAUCAAAAUCAGAAACGUUACUGUCAAUCGUUUUUUCUUCCAACCAACUUGUGUGCUUACUGGUCACACUGCCACUAUUUUAAGCUCCCUCCCCUUCCCAAUUCAACUUCCCCCACUGCCCUUCCUCAAUUUCCACAACCCCACCCCCCUCCCUCCCUCCCUCCCACCCAUGUCUACCCAAAGAGCAAGAGCUUCACGAGUCACCGACGAUGAGAUUAACGACCUCAUCCUCAAACUGCAGGCGUUGCUACCUCAUUCAAAUCAAAGGCGCACGUCUACAGGGGUAGGCUAGCCUGGGUGUUUUUUGUUUUUUUGUUUUUUUCAUUUCUUAUUCUGAAUAUUAGAAGCUUAUGCAUUUGACCUUGCUGCUUUCCUCUCUCCAUGAGUACCAAUUUUCUGUCUCGGCCGUCAUCUAGACUUUCAUAUCAUGUCCCGGAAGAAAGGAACAAGAGCCUUGCCAAGAUGACUUGCAGUACUGGACAUUAACGGAGAGAGGGAGAGCCCAGUCUCUUUUAAAGGCUUUAAUUCAAAACUCGAAUCUUGAAGAAAAAUUAAUUAGCAUAAUAAUGAUACUUAUAACAAGGAUAAUACCAAUUUCAUACUGCAGAAGUGGCUUCAAGUUCUAAGUAAACUGCACCGUAGCCAUUAAGCUAAAAAGAGAGAGGAAACAAGGGUGGUUUACAUAUAGAGACAGUUCAUUGAUGUACAGGGAACAUGCAUACGUCCAAAUCAUGAUCGGAUGAAAAGAAAAAGACUGUUGUGAAUUUAAAUGCUAACCUUGGCUUUUUUCAACGUAAUUGGUUUGGUUGCAGGCAUCGGCAUGGAGGAUUCUGAAAGAAACGUGCAGUUACAUAAAGAGGCUACACAGAGAGGUGGGCGACCUGAGUGAGAGACUAUCCCAGCUUCUUGAUUCUCUUGAUAAUAUUAAUGGUGUUGAGGUUGAGCAACUUAGAAGUUUAUUGCAGCGAUAGAUCUUUAGU
rnacentral:lncRNA from 1 species